GGAGACAAAAGCUACAAAUGAAAUGUUCAAACUCGAAAAUUGUUCUCGUCACUCAUUCUGUACUGAUUGCAUAGCGCAAUAUGUCCAGUUCAUGAUUCAAGACCAUAUUUUCUCAGUAACUUGCCCUGGUUUGAAAUGUUGCGCGACAAUUGAACCUGUUUAUUGUAAAUCCAUCAUCCCUGAAAAUGUAUUCGAAAAAUGGCAAGGGGGAUUGAGUGAGUCUUCUCUUCUUGAG
rnacentral:misc_RNA from 1 species